rnacentral:tRNA from 1 species
GGGCGAUUAGCUCAGCUGGCUAGAGCGCACGCUUCACACGCGUGAGGUCACUGGUUCGAGUCCAGUAUCGCCCA